AACGAACGCUGGCGGCAUGCCUAACACAUGCAAGUCGAACGAGACCUUCGGGUCUAGUGGCGCACGGGUGCGUAACGCGUGGGAAUCUACCCUUGGGUUCGGAAUAACUCAGAGAAAUUUGAGCUAAUACCGGAUGAUGUCGCAAGACCAAAGAUUUAUCGCCCAAGGAUGAGCCCGCGUAGGAUUAGCUUGUUGGUGAGGUAAAAGCUCACCAAGGCGACGAUCCUUAGCUGGUCUGAGAGGAUGAUCAGCCACACUGGGACUGAGACACGGCCCAGACUCCUACGGGAGGCAGCAGUAGGGAAUAUUGGUCAAUGGAUGCAAGUCUGAACCAGCCAUGCCGCGUGCAGGAAGAAGGCCUUCUGGUUGUAAACUGCUUUUGCCAGGGGAUAAAAUUUCCAUGCGUGGAAACUGAAGGUACCUGGUGAAUAAGCCACGGCUAACUACGUGCCAGCAGCCGCGGUAAU
rnacentral:rRNA from 1 species